rnacentral:ribozyme from 15 species
CUGACCGAGAGAAAAUAUAGAGAAAAAUUGCGGAGAAACUCGCAAAUUCAUCCCCACCCUCUCAUAGUUAUUUUACAUGGAGUCGCAAACGGUGCUUGUACUCUAUCGUUUUUUUUUUUUUUUUUAUCUUUUU